UACGUAGGGUGCGAGCGUUGUCCGGAAUUAUUGGGCGUAAAGAGCUCGUAGGCGGCUUGUCGCGUCGGAUGUGAAAACCCGGGGCUCAACUCCGGGCUUGCGGGCGAUACGGGCAGGCUAGAGUUCGGUAGGGGAGACUGGAAUUCCUGGUGUAGCGGUGAAAUGCGCAGAUAUCAGGAGGAACACCGGUGGCGAAGGCGGGUCUCUGGGCCGAUACUGACGCUGAGGAGCGAAAGCGUGGGGAGCGAACAGG
rnacentral:rRNA from 1 species